rnacentral:rRNA from 1 species
UACGAAGGGGCUAGCGUUGCUCGGAAUCACUGGCGUAAGCGCACGUAGGCGGCUUGCAAGUCGGUGUGAAUCCCAGGCUUAACCUGGAACUGCAUUCGAGACUGCAUGCUAGAGUAUGGAGAGGAGUGAAUUCGUGUAGCGUGAAUGCGUAGAUAUCGAGACAUCAGUGCGAAGCGACUCUGACAUACUGACGCUCAUGUGCGAAGCGUGGGAGCAACAG